GGAGAGAAGGCAAGAUGUUGGCAUAGCUGUUGAGUUCAGGGACCUGCUAUGCUGUCAUAUUGCCCUGUUUCCUAUCCAUCUGCUGCAAGAUGCUGUGAUUUCACCUUA
rnacentral:miRNA from 1 species